GAGKCAUACUUCGGGGCCGGGCUCAAUGUGGGCGGAGUCAAACGCGUUUAACCUGAACCCUUCCCGUUUCCUUCAAGGUCACCCAAGUUCUUAAUCGAACCUGACCUACAUGGAUAAAAAUAUAAACCAUGGCAUACGCUCUGUACAUUGCAAUGGAAGCACAGUGUGAUUUCACUGAGGAAGACAUGCAGCAAAUUAGGCCAUGGUGGCGCCUAGUUCUCCUGCAGAACUUUCCCAUGCCGUCUGAAGAAGAGAGGUUGAAAGAUCGAAAAAGGUGGCGAAAACAAAACACACUACAGGUAGGUGUCAUGAUGAG